GGGUUCAUAGCUCAGUGGUUAGAGCUUUCGAUUGCAGAUCGAAUGGUCCGUGGUUCGAAUCCGCGUGGACCCU